AAUGCUAAACGUGAUGGUCACUUUGCCUCCAUGAGGCCCAUUGCUUGAAAGGAACUCAGUCACUUUGCCUCCAUGAGGCCCAUUGCUCAAAAGGAACUUAGCCACUUUUGUCUGUGUGAGGCCCAACACUCAAAAGGAACUAAGCCAUUUUUGCCUCCAUGAGGCCAAACGCUUCAAAGGAACUCAGCUACUUUGCCUCCAUGAGGCCCAAUGCUCCAACCAUGU